CAAUGGUCCUGAGACUGCCAUACUGAAGAGCUCAAUGUAGCCAUUCUGGUCAACAGUCCAGCUGAGUUCCAGACAAUAGUCUGCUUUGACUGCCAGCCCUGUGAGUGCACUGUCUUGGACAGCCAGUCCCCUGGAGCCCUCAGAUGACUACGGCAGUAACCAACAUCUGACUGCAAUCUCGUGAGAAACCCUCGGCCAGAACUGCCCAGCUAAGAGUUUACAAAUUCCUGAUACACCAAACUGUGAGCAAAAUAAAGCAAUCAUUUGAAGCUGCUAAAUGUGGGGAGAGCUGGUUAUGCAGCAAUAGUAACCUGAGCACCAUAGGAGAGAGAACAAUCACUGAGUUUCCAAGACACAUGGUGCCUGGUGCCGCCCCUCCCAUCGUGGACACAAGGAUUUGAUGGCUGAAACCUGGAGGGAGCGACCCCAGUGUGGGAAGGAAGCCCCUGGGUCCCACAGAAGGUCCAGAAGGUGGAUAAACCUCUAAGAUAAUAGCAUGAAAUUUGCCAUAAUGAUAUCAUCAGCAGGUCAGAUGGGACACAAGCGUCUGUGGAUUUACUUUCAACUCCACUGCCACAUAUUAGUGGAGACUCCAGGAGUGGAUGAAUUUUUUGCAGAUGAGGCUCCUUCUCCUUGUCUCAACUUCUCUUCCAACUAAAGACUCCCAUAAAACACGCUAUCUGCAGAAUUCUCAGGAGGGAAGAGAAGGAGUUGAGCCAUAACCUCCUAACCUCUGCGGCACACCCUCGGCCAGCAACCUCAUUCUCCUUCUGGCAUUUGGAGGGCUCUGUGGAUCCCUUGCCCUCAGAAAUGCUAUCAACAUAAUGAAAGUUGAGAUGAAAAUUAAUCAUUUGCUGAGCUUCCUCCUGCAUCUGUUUUAAAACCUUCUGAGGGUGAGAGGAAUCUGUAGAACUUUGGAAGGCUGUGCUGGGAUUCCCACUGACUGUACUGGGACAUCUGAGGUGAUCCAUUCGAAGCAGUUAUUAGGAAGAAAUGAGAUGACACUGUUUCUCAGCAUUUGAGAUCAAGAACCUCAGAUUGGAACAGGGCCAGCACUUUAGUAGCUGAAAGCAGUCUGUGCAUUCAUUUGAAAUGAAGGAUGGGAAGUUCCCUGAAAAGGUUUAAAGUCUUAAUUCAAUUGAUAUUGGCACAAUAAACUCUAGGACACAUCCAAAUCCAUUACGAAGACUCCUCAUGCCAGCAGAUUUGCAAAACUAGAUGUGGAAUUGCAUCAAGUUCUUUCUGCUCUAUGUUUUAAGAGACACACUCAAGAGUUUCAUGCAGACCUGUCAUCACAUUCUGGCUCUCUCAUUUUCCUGGAAAGUUGGGCAAGCUACUUCAAAUUUUGGAGUCUCAUUUUCCUCAUCUGUGGAAUGAAUGUCAUAAUACAUAUUCACUGACUUAACAUGAGGACGGCAUGUGUUAAUAAUAAACCUAAUCUUGUGACCAGAACACACAGGCACCAAGUAAAUGGUAGUUACAAUGAUCUUAACCUGCAAGAGGACUCAGCACCCUACGUGUCUUGAAAAGACAAUGAUCCACCCUUUGCUUCAUGUCUAUGUUCUUUUUAAAGAAUAAAUACUGGUCUGUCUUUAUAUGUAAAAUGAAUGCAUUCCUGACAAGUGGCGGACAGACAAUCUCCUCUCUGCAUAAAAAUCUGUCUUUUAUUAUUUUGUGUAUUGGCUCAGGCUGCUGUAACAGAAGACCAUAGACUGGGUGGCUUAUGAACAACACAAAUCGAUUUCUCACAGUUUUGGAGGCUGAGAGGUCUUGAGUUCAAGGUCAAGGUGCCAUCAGAUUCUGUGUCUGGUGAGAGCCUGCUUUCUGGCUCAUAGCUGGCCAUCUUCUCCCUGGGUCUUCAUAUGGCAGAAGGGGAAGGGUGCUCUCUGGGGUCUCCUUUAUUAAAGCACUAAUCCCAUGCAGGAGGCCUCUGCUCUCAUGACCUAAUCACUUCCCAAAGGUCUCACUCCUGGUACAGUCACCUUGGGGGUUAGGAUUUCAACGAGUAAAUUUGGCAGAGGUAGGGAUAUCAACAUUCAGUCUCUAGCACUUAGUUACAUUAAAAAUGAGAAAAAUAUCCUUUCAGGUGGGAGGGAAUCAGCUCUAACCUUGACUCAUUACCUCUCCAGCAGAACAAUUUCAUCUGCUAGCUCAUAGCUGUGCUCUUUGUUUGGGUUAUUUAUUGAUCUCGUUGCAUAGAAGGAAGAAAAAGCAUG